ensembl:misc_RNA Metazoa_SRP Metazoan signal recognition particle RNA
GCUGGGCGUGGUGGCGCAUGCCUGUAAUCCCAGCUACUUGGGAGGCUGAGGCAGGAGAAUCGCUUGAACCCAGGAGGUGGAGGUUGCAGUGAACCAAGAUCACGCCACUGCACUCCAGCCUGGGCGAAAGAGCGAGAUCCUGUCUCAA